rnacentral:pre_miRNA from 1 species
AUAGUACUCCCUCCGUUUGGAAUUACUUGUCACAAAAAUGGAUGUAUCUACAACUAAAAUACAUCUAGAUACAUUCAUUUCUUGGACGAGUAAUUCCGAAUGGAGGGAGUAUGUA